AUAAUGGGUCAGCGACUUAUAUUCUGUAGCAAGGUUAACCGAAUAGGGGAGCCGAAGGGAAACCGAGUCUUAACUGGGCGUUAAGUUGCAGGGUAUAGACCCGAAACCCGGUGAUCUAGCCAUGGGCAGGUUGAAGGUUGGGUAACACUAACUGGAGGACCGAACCGACUAAUGUUGAAAAAUUAGCGGAUGACUUGUGGCUGGGGGUGAAAGGCCAAUCAAACCGGGAGAUAGCUGGUUCUCCCCGAAAGCUAUUUAGGUAGCGCCUCGUGAAUUCAUCUCCGGGGGUAGAGCACUGUUUCGGCAAGGGGGUCAUCCCGACUUACCAACCCGAUGCAAACUGCGAAUACCGGAGAAUGUUAUCACGGGAGACACACGGCGGGUGCUAACGUCCGUCGUGAAGAGGGAAACAACCCAGACCGCCAGCUAAGGUCCCAAAGUCAUGGUUAAGUGGGAAACGAUGUGGGAAGGCCCAGACAGCCAGGAUGUUGGCUUAGAAGCAGCCAUCAUUUAAAGAAAGCGUAAUAGCUCACUGGUCGAGUCGGCCUGCGCGGAAGAUGUAACGGGGCUAAACCAUGCACCGAAGCUGCGGCAGCGACGCUGAUGCGUUGUUGGGUAGGGGAGCGUUCUGUAAGCCUGCGAAGGUGU
rnacentral:rRNA from 1 species